UACGGGGGGGGCAAGCGUUGUUCGGAAUUACUGGGCGUAAAGCGUGCGUAGGUGGUUCGUUGUGUCUGUGGUGAAAGCCCCGGGCUUAACCUGGGAAUGGCCAUGGAAACUGGCGAGCUGGAGUCUGGCAGAGGGGGGUGGAAUUCCGCGUGUAGCAGUGAAAUGCGUAGAGAUGCGGAGGAACACCGAUGGCGAAGGCAGCCCCCUGGGCUAAGACUGACGCUGAGGCACGAAAGCGUGGGGAGCAAACAGG
rnacentral:rRNA from 1 species